rnacentral:rRNA from 1 species
UCUAGCUGAAGGACUUUGGGUCACCUCCCACCCAUGUUUAUUUUACCUUGUUGCUUCGGCGGGCCCGCCUUAACUGGCCGCCGGGGGGCUUACGCCCCCGGGCCCGCGCCCGCCGAAGACACCCUCGAACUCUGUCUGAAGAUUGUAGUCUGAGUGAAAAUAUAAAUUAUUUAAAACUUUCAACAACGGAUCUCUUGGUUCCGGCAUCGAUGAAGAACGCAGCGAAAUGCGAUACGUAAUGUGAAUUGCAAAUUCAGUGAAUCAUCGAGUCUUUGAACGCACAUUGCGCCCCCUGGUAUUCCGGGGGGCAUGCCUGUCCGAGCGUCAUUGCUGCCCUCAAGCCCGGCUUGUGUGUUGGGCCCCGUCCUCCGAUUCCGGGGGACGGGCCCGAAAGGCAGCGGCGGCACCGCGUCCGGUCCUCGAGCGUAUGGGGCUUUGUCACCCGCUCUGUAGGCCCGGCCGGCGCUUGCCGAUCAACCCAAAUUUUUAUCCAGGUUGACCUCGGAUCAGGUAGGGAUACCCGCUGAACUUAAGCAUAUCAU